GAUGAAGAACGUAGUGAAAUGCGAUAAGUAAUGUGAAUUGCAGAAUUCAGUGAAUCAUCGAAUCUUUGAACGCACAUUGCGCCCGCCAGUAUUCUGGCGGGCAUGCCUGUUCGAGCGUCAUUACAACCCUCAGGCCCCCGGGCCUGGCGUUGGGGAUCGGCGGAGCCCCCCGUGGGCACACGCCGUCCCCCAAAUGCAGUGGCGGUCCCGCCGCAGCUUCCAUCGCGUAGUAGCUAACACCUCGCGACUGGAGAGCGGCGCGGCCACGCCGUAAAACACCCACCUCUUCUGAAGUUGACCUCGAAUCAGGUAGGAAUACCCGCUGAACUUAAGCAUAUCAUAAGCGGAGGA
rnacentral:misc_RNA from 1 species